UCCGUCAACAGGUGAAGUGCGACACUGGCUCAUUCGGCUCGUCAAUACCAUGGGACGGAGACCUAUUAUCGCUGUCCUUGCUGUGCUUCAAGGCCUAGGUGCUUGGGUCAUAUAUUUGCGGAUGACAGAUGGAACUGUAAAACAACCGGAACUUUCAUCAAGCAGUAUCAUUGAGGCACUGAGAGACCUCAAAUCACCUCUGACGCAAAGCCCACUGAUGAAGGCUCACCUUGAACGAAGAUUUGCUC